rnacentral:misc_RNA from 1 species
AUUGAAAUGAUUUUAAUUUGAGUUAAUCUUAGUGGUUCUGUGUUUGUGAUUUUGCGUUGAUGUAUUGAGAAUUUGGGAGAUUUUUUGCUGAGGAUUUGGGAGGAUGUUUGGUUCUGUAAUCGUGGAUGGGAACUGUUUAGGAACCAAUUGGACUGAAUUAAACUGAACCCUUUUUUCCUGGUUUGGUUUGAUUUAGUUUUACUAUUAGUUUGGUUCACAAAAAUGCGAUCGUCGGUUUUCCGGUUCGGCUUGGAACCAAACCGACUGAUCACACCCCCCUAAUGGUAUGCAUAUUAAAGAUUCCUAUUCUGGGGGAGAAAUCGUCGAAAAGUUAUGUUUUCUUGAGUGUUUUAAGCAUGGGUGUGUUUUCACUAGAUCAUGUACUGUAGAAACUUGGAAGCAAUGCACAAAAGUGUAUUUUCAAAUCGGGACAAAUAGUGCAAAUAUUGCGCUGAUGCUUACUGUGAUCCAGUGAAUAGAUUAGUGGCCCACAUUUUUCGUUAUGAUUUAUCCUCGUCAGUGCUGGAGUUUUAGCUAGAUGAGUUUAUUGGGAAUAUGUGGCUUGUUAUGUAAGUCAUACUCUAUUAAAUGUGCAUGCACAUUAGAAAGAGCUAUUAUGGGUGAAAUUAGUCACUUUUUUAGAGUUUUUCUAUACAUGGGUGUCUUUUAGUAGAUUAUGUUCUGGAGAAACUUUGAAGCAGUGCACAAAACGUACUCUCAUAGCAGGGCAAAAUGCGCAAAUAUUACAAAGAUGUGAUCAAGUUAAUUGGUUAAUAACCCAAAUAUCUUGUUCUGUUUGUUAAUUCUGAAAUUUAAUGAUAUUUUUGUUCAGGUGAAUUGCAGCGCAUUCUUCAGUUAGUAAUUUUGCUUGUUAAAAAUGUUCGUAUUUUUUGUUUAGUGCUAAUUGGAUCGUGCAUAAUUACUCCUUUGCUUUGUAUGUGGUAUAUGAUUUAUGAAACAGGGUUUUAUGCUUAUCAUUUCAGGUGUAUGAUCUAUGGCUUUUUAAAAAUGGAUGCAGUUUGGUUCAAACAUAGUUUUGCUUAUUCUUAUAAAACUUUAAAGUUGGAGACAGGGCAGUGCGAGGCUUUUAUGUUUUGGGGUUUCUUUGAGCGAGGAGCUUCAGCUCGCAGAUAUUCAAACUGAUCAAGCUAUAAGGAAUUUGCUGUCAAAAAGAUUGAUAUUUCCUUUAUAGAUCUAUUUCAGUUUUUACUUUUAUGUCAACUCCUUUUCUUGUCUCUAUACCUUUUUUAUUAACAGAGCUCAACAUCUUAGCAUUUAUGCUAGAAAAUGAUAUCCUUAUGUUGAUUGUAGUUGAGCCAUUUUAGUUCUUUUACA